UGGCGGACGGGUGGAGUAAUGUCUGGGAAACGUGCCUGAUGGAGGGGGAGUAACUACUGGAAACGGUAGCUAAUACCGCAUAACGUCGCAAGACCAAAGAGGGGGACCUUCGGGCCUCUUGCCAUCGGAUGUGCCCAGAUGGGAUUAGCUAGUAGGUGGGGUAACGGCUCACCUAGGCGACGAUCCCUAGCUGGUCUGAGAGGACGACCAGCCACACUGGAACUGAGACACGGUCCAGACUCCUACGGGAGGCAGCAUG
rnacentral:rRNA from 1 species